rnacentral:rRNA from 1 species
GAUGAAUGCUGGCGGCGUGCUUAACACAUGCAAGUCGAGCGGUAACAGGUCUAGUUUACUAGAUGCUGACGAGCGGCGGACGGCUGAGUAACGCGUGGGAACAUGCCCCAAAGUGAGGAAUAACUGCCCGAAAGGGUAGCUAAUACCGCAUAUGAUCUUCGGAUUAAAGGAAUUAUCCGCUUUAGGAUUGGCCCGCGUCUGAUUAGGUAGUUGGUGAGGUAACGGCUCACCAAGGCGACGAUGAUUAGCUGGCCUGAGAGGGUGACCGGCCAGACUGGGACUGAGACACGGCCCAGACUCCUACGGGAGGCAGCAGUGGGGAAUAUUGCACAAUGGGCGCAAGCCUGAUGCAGCAACGCCGCGUGAGGGAUGACGGCCUUCGGGUUGUAAACCUCUUUUAGUAGGGAAGAAGCGAAAGUGACGGUACCUGCAGAAAAAGCAUCGGCUAACUACGUGCCAGCAGCCGCAGUAA